CUUAAGGUCAGAAGACUUGCUAUGAAGAAUGGAACUCAGAGUACAAUGGUUAUCUAAUGACUGAUCAUUCAACUAAUUAUAGCAGGGACUACGCAUGUAUUGACAGAGAUGCAGAACCAUUAGACAAUAAGAGUGAAGAUGAACGUGGUGCUUAUUUUUAUACACUUCGAACCAGAUGUAGUACUUUGAGAUGUCCUCCAUAUACCAAUAAAGUGAAU
rnacentral:lncRNA from 1 species